CUUGCCUCGAGGAAGGUGUUGGACUGGAUGAUCUCCAGAGGUCCCUUCCGACUCGUAUUUGGUGUUUUCCCUGAGCCCCUUCCCGCCCCGAGCCCGGGCUCUCAGUGACUCUGCCGGGCUGUGCCAGCGGGUGUGGGGAGCGCAGGACUGGGCACAGUGCUCGGCACCUCCGACACACCAGGGCGGACACUGCUGGGUCUGCAGAGUGAUGGAAGGGUCUGGGAGCCAUGGAAGGGUCUGGCAGAGAUGGGUCAGGCAGUGGGUGCCGUUCGAAGGCUGCUCGAGGUGGUGCCUGAGGUGCCGCACUGCGUUAACUCCAGUCUUGCCAAUGUGGUUAUUCCAUGUGUUCAUUUCCAUCCCCCGGGAAAAGGCACAGAGGCCGUGCCUGGCUGGAUGCGGGGCCCCAUGAACAAAACGGAGCCUGGAGAAUGCCCGACAUAACUUGAGGAGGGAUGUGAUCUGGCCGGGGAUGUCUGCACUGAAGAGGCUCCUGGCUGAGCGAGGGCAUUGGACGGCCCGCAGAGCGAAGCAGGUAAAUGCAAAACUUACAGCUAUCCUCCCUCAGACACCUCACAGACUGUACUGGUGCUUGAAAAAAAGAAAUCAUACACACGGAACUUCAACCUGAAACUUCAUAACAAAAAAAGUCCACUAAG